GAAACGAUAGCUAAUACCGCAUAACAAUGGAUGACACAUGUCAUUUAUUUGAAAGGGGCAAUUGCUCCACUACAAGAUGGACCUGCGUUGUAUUAGCUAGUAGGUGAGGUAACGGCUCACCUAGGCGACGAUACAUAGCCGACCUGAGAGGGUGAUCGGCCACACUGGGACUGAGACACGGCCCAGACUCCUACGGGAGGCAGCAGUAGGGAAUCUUCGGCAAUGGGGGCAACCCUGACCGAGCAACGCCGCGUGAGUGAAGAAGGUUUUCGGAUCGUAAAGCUCUGUUGUAAGUCAAGAACGAGUGUGAGAGUGGAAAGUUCACACUGUGACGGUAGCUUACCAGAAAGGGACGGCUAACUACGUGCCAGCAGCCGCGGUAAUACGUAGGUCCCGAGCGUUGUCCGGAUUUAUUGGGCGUAAAGCGAGCGCAGGCGGUUUGAUAAGUCUGAAGUUAAAGGCUGUGGCUCAACCAUAGUUCGCUUUGGAAACUGUCAAACUUGAGUGCAGAAGGGGAGAGUGGAAUUCCAUGUGUAGCGGUGAAAUGCGUAGAUAUAUGGAGGAACACCGGUGGCGAAAGCGGCUCUCUGGUCUGUAA
rnacentral:rRNA from 1 species